AAUGAACGCUGGCGGCGUGCUUAACACAUGCAAGUCGAACGAGAAAGUCCUUCGGGGCUAGUAAAGUGGCAAACGGGUGAGUAACGCGUGAGAAUUUACCUUUUAGUGAAGGAUACUCCCGAGAAAUCGGGGUUAAUACUGCAUACGUCUCUACGGAGAGAAAGGCGGCCUCUUUGCUGUCGCUAAAGAUAAGCUUGCGUCCUAUUAGCUAGUUGGUGUGGUAAAGGCGCACCAAGGCAAUGAUGGGUAACCGGCCUGAGAGGGUGUACGGUCACACUGGAACUGAGACACGGUCCAGACUCCUACGGGAGGCAGCAGUGGGGAAUAUUGCACAAUGGGCGAAAGCCUGAUGCAGCGACGCCGCGUGGAGGAAGAAGGUCUUCGGAUUGUAAACUCCUGUUAAAUGGGAAGAAAGACUUCUGGUUAAUACCCAGAGGGGAUGACGGUACCAUUAGAGAAAGCUCCGGCUAACUUUGUGCCAGCAGCCGCCGUAA
rnacentral:rRNA from 1 species